UACGAAGGGGGCUAGCGUUGCUCGGAAUUACUGGGCGUAAAGGGCGCGUAGGCGGACAGCUUAGUCAGAGGUGAAAGCCCAGGGCUCAACCUUGGAAUUGCCUUUGAUACUGGCUGUCUUGAGUUUGGGAGAGGUGAGUGGAACUCCGAGUGUAGAGGUGAAAUUCGUAGAUAUUCGGAAGAACACCAGUGGCGAAGGCGACUCACUGGCCCAAUACUGACGCUGAGGCGCGAAAGCUAGGGGAGCAAACAGG
rnacentral:rRNA from 1 species